UCCUUGUUGUGAUUUCUGCCUGUGUUGAUUAAUCUUGCCUGUCCCCUGUUCUGAUUUCUGCCUACCACAAUUCAUUUUGUCUGCUCUUGAACUUCAUAUAAAGGGAAUCAGGCAGUUUAUACUUUUAUAUCUGACUUCCGUAUUCACCAGCUUCUACCACUAAUUCAUGUUGUGGCUUGUAUCACCAGGUUGUGACUUUUUCUUAGCAAGCGAUAAUCCAAUGUAUAAAUGGAUCCCAAUCUGCUUAUCUAGCUGUGUGCAGACAAACAUUUGGGUUGUUCUUAGCUCUGGGCUAUUGUGAAUGGAGAUGCCAGGAACAUUCUUGCAUAAAUCUUCCUGCAGAUCUAUGUUUUCAUCUUCUGUGAGCCCACAGGACCUUGCUAAUGCUGAUCACCACGUCAAAAGCAAGGAUGCAGAUAAUGCUGAGAUCCACACUGAGCAACGAUUGGCUGGGCACUGUCUUGCUCUGUCACGUAUAAUUCUCACUUCAUGAUAAAGCUGUGACACCCAAGAGGUUAACUGAUCUGCUCACUAAUGUCCCGAAGUUAAUUUGGUGGUGACAAUGAUCCCACUGAUGGCCAGAGGAAAGAUGACAGGCUGGUCACCUGUUGUGGACAUGAUGGCAGCUGUGCCCACAGAUAAGUACUUCACUAAGUAUUUCACACAAAAUUUUAACAUGCAGUUUCCACUCCAGUCUUAAUUUUUUUGCAGUUGAAACAACAUGCUGAAUAUGACAGAGUUACUAAGAGGAAAAAGACAAACUGAACUGGGGACCAUCUGUUGCCAGGUGAACUUGACCAAUACUCAUUCACUCAUUCUCUCCUUUCUCUCUCUUUCUUUCUCUCUCUCUCUCUCUCUCU